AUGUCAUUAAUGAACCUUAUUACAUGUCGGUGAAGGGGUAAGUUUAGAAAUUGAAAAUAAGAAGUAUGAAAUUUCUGUAGCAAUUUGAUUUUGUUACAGCCUCAAAUAUAAAAUCAUUGUUCAAAUAAUUUUUUUUUUUUUAACAGGCAGAGUAGACAGUGAGAGAGAGAGAGACAGAGAGAAAGGUCUUCCUUUUUGCCGUUGGUUCACCCUCCAAUGGCCACCACGGCCGGCGCGCUGCGGCUGGUGCACUGUGCUGAUCCAAUGGCAGGAGCCAGGUACUUAUCCUGGUCUCCCAUGGGGUGCAGGGCCCAAGGACUUGGGCCAUCCUCCACUGCACUCCCGGGCCACAGCAGAGGGCUGGCCUGGAAGAGGGGCAACCGGGACAGAAUCCGGCGCCCCGACCGGGACUAGAACCCAGUGUGCCGGCGCCGCAAGGCGGAGGAUUAGCCUAGUGAGCCGUGGCACCGGCCUCAAAUAAUUUUUAUUUUAUCUAAUGAAAUGUCAAUCUGCAGUGAAUUUGAAAUUAAAAAAAAAAUCUGGUACUUCAACAGAAAUAGGGAAGCACUGAUUUAAACAUUUAUUCAAGGGGCCAGCGCCAUGGCACACUAGGUUAAUCCUCUGCCUGCGGCGCUGGCAUCGCAUAUGGGUGCGGGUUCUAGUCCUGAUUACUCCUCUUCCAGUCCAGCUCUCUGCUGUGGCCUGGGAAAGCAGUGGAGGAUGGCCCAGGUGCUUGGGUCCCUGCACCUGCAUGGGAGACCAGGAAGAAGCACCUGGUUCCUGGUUUCGGAUUGGUGCAGUGCUGGCCAUAGCAGCCAUUUAGAGAUUGAACCAACGGAAGGAAGACCUUUCUCUCUGUCUCUCUCUCACUGUCUGUAACUCUACCUGUCAAAUAAAUAAAAUCUUUUUAAAAAAUUUAUUCAAACUUUUGUAUUUGUAUGCUUUUAUUCACAUGAUCUUGUCUGCUUAUUUAAGUGAAGAUGUAAUUCCUUUUAUUUCUCCUAAAUAAUUUUUAUUGUCUUUUUAAAUGUGCUCUCGGGAGUUUAUGUGGUACAGUCUUAGAAUUUUGACCAUGUCUUCUAUUUUUACCUUUCCAAACUGAAGAAUAACAACAGUCUUUUUGGACUUUAUUGACCUGGUAGUCUCCUCAUUUCCCCCAUAAUUUUAGCUGCCCUGGUAGUUCAUUGUAAUGUCAUACACGUUUAAUGUAUACUUACAGCAAUUUGUUUAUGGAUAAGCUAAUUUUGUUUUGCUUUAGGGUGUAUGUGUUUUCUCUUUUCCUAAGCUUCUUUUUCUUUUUUUAUUUUUUAUUUGACAGGUAGAGAUAUAGACAGUGAGAGAGAGAGAGAAAGGUCUUCCUUCUAUUGGUUCACCCCCCAAAUGGUUGCUAUGGCCGGCGCUGUGCCGAUCCAAAGCCAGGACCCAGGUGCUUCUUCCUGGUCUCCCACGCAGGUGCAGGGGCCCAAGCACUUGGGUCAUCCUCCACUGUCCUCCCAGGCCGCAGCAGAGAGUUGGACUGGAAGAGGAGCAACCGGGACAGAAUCCGGCGCCCAUAUGUGAUGCCGGCGCCACAGGUGGAAGAUUAACCAAGUGAGCCAUGGCACCGGCCCUCAUUGAUGAGAAAAAAAGGAAGUAAAAGAAGUAUUAUACAGUAGCAAUAACAAAACAAGUAGGUCAACCAGGAAUGAUCUGUCAAUAGAGAAAUUCAUAUGUAAGCAAAACAAAACAUCCACUGUAAGUGACAAACUGAAAUGCCUUCUCUAGGUACACAGUUCUACUAAGAAUUAGUAAGCUGUGUGGGCUGGACUACUGCUGAAGAGCUGUAUUCAUGUAGUGAUGAUCACCAGAUAGUGAAGUGGAACUUGUUAACCAGUGAAACAAGUCAAAUAGUAAAGCUUCCUGAUGACAUUUACCCUAUAGAUCUUCACUGGUUCCCAAAAAGUUUUGGUGUAAAGAAACAGACUCAAGCAGAAAGCUUUGUCCUCACAAGUUCUGAUGGUAAAUUUCAUCUGAUUUCGAAGUUAGGAAGAGUAGAAAAAAGUGUAGAAGCUCACUGUGGAGCAGUACUUGCAGGAAGAUGGAAUUAUGAAGGAACAGCAUUAGUUACAGUUGGAGAAGAUGGACAAAUAAAAAUUUGGUCAAAGACUGGGAUGCUCAGAUCAACAUUAGCUCAACAAGGAACACCAGUGUAUUCAGUAGCGUGGGGCCCUGAUUCAGAAAAGGUUCUUUACACAGCAGGCAAGCAGCUGAUCAUUAAACCUCUUCAACCGAAUGCUAAG